UACGUAGGUGGCAAGCGUUGUCCGGAAUUACUGGGUGUAAAGGGAGCGCAGGCGGGAAGCCAAGUCAGCUGUGAAAACUACGGGCUUAACUUGUAGACUGCAGUUGAAACUGGUUUUCUUGAGUGAAGUAGAGGUUGGCGGAAUUCCUAGUGUAGCGGUGAAAUGCGUAGAUAUUAGGAGGAACACCAGUGGCGAAGGCGGCCUGCUGGACGACAACUGACGCUGAGGCGCGAAAGCGUGGGGAGCAAACAGG
rnacentral:rRNA from 1 species